UUAAUUUCUCGAUAAAACAUAAUAUUUAAUACUGUAAUUUCAAUGAAAAAGAAAUCAUAGUUUGGACAACAAAAAAAAAAAAAAAACUAAGGAAAAAAAACACUAUUUCAGCUAUUAGUAUUUUCUGACUAGGGAACUGUAAAAUCUCUUCCCCUUUCAACUUUUUGUUAAUUUAUAUAAAAGAGACACGUGUAACCUGCUCGGUUCCCAAAUGGAACACCUAAAUAAGACCCCUAUGCCGCUCUUGUUUUAUUUUUCUAGGGUUUUGGUGCUGUGUUUUUAGGGUUUUUGGAUUGGGGGCUAUAUUUAACAAGUGAAGAAGAAGAGUGAAGAAAGCCAGAAGCACAUAAAUCAGACCGUCAAUAGUAAUAAGCAGGCGAUCCAGUACGGGAGGUGUUGAAAGAUGCAUGUCAGAAGUUGAUGUUGACGUGCCAGCAUGUGAGGAGCACAUUGGACAAGGCUGUUGAUGAUUAUAGAAGCAAUCCCACAUAUAUAGAUACCAAAUAAUGGUUGAGAUCGAUGUGACCAAUUGCAAUCUUCAUGUUAUGGUUUUAGCUGAAUGCAACAUGAUAUGUUUGAUCCAAUUCAAUCAGUGUGUUCGGAUAUGAUUCGUGUUUCUCAUCAUUUUGGAAGUUGGAUACAAAUUUCUUCAUCUUUUAGGGGUUGGGUGGAACAAGUUUAAUUGGCAUUUCUGCUAUCUAAGUUAAACAGAGUCAGAGAGCUAUUCAUCUAGCAGGCAGGAUGGAGCAGUUUUGAUUUUUCUGUUCUCUCAUGAAGUGCGAUCUGUUUAAUUCGUUCCCAUUUGAUUUCCAGAUAAUCACAGAAUGCAUGGUCCAAGUAAUUUACAGAACUGCUGUGAAUACAUGUGGAUUUGGAAUUUAGGUGCUAGCAGCAGGCAGUGCAUUGCUCGAGUUAGUGAACACCUGGGUUUGAUUCUAACCAAAUAUGAGGCCAAGUAGAAUCAGUCUUUGCCCAUGAGAAUCAGCCAUUCCUAUCUGCUCCAGAUACAAUCGUCCAAAAUUGGAAACUAUUGCUUACAGAAGUUUUCUGAACAUGGUUAAAAACUGAAGGGGGGAAAAGAGAAGGACAGCAGGCAGAAAUUAUAUGUAAACGAAGCCAGUAAUUUACGUGUAUGCAUAAUACAGAAACAAAUACACUGGAGCACCGGAUCAGUUACAAUUGCAGUGUUAGUCACAGAUGUGGCAAAUCCUACAAGCUAGAACAUGGACGAAGAGCAUAAAAAACAGGCACUUGAUGGAAGGGGGGUCACACUCAUACCUCAUCCCUGAUGCCAAGAAAUGGCCACGACUUGCUUCCCGGUUCAAGAGAGGACUUUAAAGUGAAAGAUCCAAGAAAUGACAAAGGCCAUCACCAUGCAGGCAAGCAAGAAAUUCAUAAGGCGGCGGCUAUGCCAAAAUGCUCGGGUCUCCACGAGGAUAAGAGGAACUGCUGGUGCUGAUAAGACUUCCGCACUAGCGUUAUGUGCCUCAUUUGUCUGCUCGCCUGCAACACCAAGUGCAGUGGCACCACAUAUCUCACAUGUCCUGUAAAAACAGAAACACAACAGCGUUAAGAUAAAUUAGAACUUCAAUCAAAAUUGAAUUGCCAUAAAAAUAACAUGGAAUCUCAAACCAGGUAACAUCUUGAGUUCAAAAGGGUAAAUUUUGUAUGGUGACAGAUAAAUUGUUUGAAUUCAUAUACUUAUGGCAUUUCGGAAGAGCCACUGAGGAUUUAUUAGUUUUUGAGAAAGUGCUAUGGAAAGCAUUUUGUUGCUA